rnacentral:lncRNA from 1 species
CCCGCGCUCCUCCGGGCAGAGCGCGUGUGGCGGCCGAGCACAUGGGCCCGCGGGCCGGGCGGGCUCGGGGCGGCCGGGACGAGGAGGGGCGACGACGAGCUGCGAGCAAAGAUGUGCCCCGGGACCCCCGGCACCUUCCAGUGGAUUUCCUUGCGGAAAGGAUGUUGGCGGUCCCUGUGACCUGUGGAGACACGGCCAGAUCUGCCCUCCAGCCUGAUCUUUUGGCCAGAAGGAGAUUAAAAAGAUGCCCCUCAAGAUGGCUGUGCCUGUCAGCUGCAUGGAGCUUCGUUCAAGUAUUUUCUGAGCCUGAUGGAUUUACAGUGAUCUUCAGUGGUCUGGGGAAUAACGCUGGUGGAACCAUGCACUGGAAUGACACACGCCCGGCACAUUUCAGGAUACUAAAAGUGGUUUUAAGGGAGGCUGUGGCUGAAUGCCUCAUGGAUUCUUACAGCUUGGAUGUCCAUGGGGGACGAAGGACUGCAGCUGGCUGAGAGGGUUGAGAUCUCUGUUUACUUAGAUCUCUGCCAACUUCCUUUGGGUCUCCCUAUGGAAUGUAAGACCCCGACUCUUCCUGGUGAAGCAUCUGAUGCACGUUCCAUCCGGCGCUCAGCUGGGCUUGAGCUGACCAUACUCCCUGGAGCCUUCUCCCGAGGUGCGCGGGUGACCUUGGCACAUACAGCCAUCAUGAUGGUACUUUAAGUGGAGGCUGAAUCAUCUCCCCUUUGAGCUGCUUGGCACGUGGCUCCCUUGGUGUUCCCCUUUUACUGCCAGGACACUGAGAUUUGGAGAGAAUCCUGUUACACCUGGGAUUUAGGCACUUUCAAUCUGAAAAAAUACAUAUCCUUUCAGCACUCUGGACGGACUUGAGAACUGUCCUUACGUGACCUAAAGCUGGAGUAUUUUGAGAUUGGAGAAUUAAGAGUGUGGGCACCCUGGCUUCAAGCUCACGAGAAACCAGAAGGAAGUCACUGUGCAUAGCCAUCCCCUAAGAAGAGGGCAUUCCUGCUCUUCCUUCUCCAUGGCUAGAGGAUCUACAUGAACUAUUUAGAUUUUUUCUACCUGGGAGAUUUAACUCCUCUCUCCUAUUUAUUUAUUUAUAUAUCAGCAUGGACUUGCAGGCCAACAGAGAUUUUGAGAAACACAUUGAAGGAUCUGUUAACACUUGAUAUACCCAAUAAAAGCAGUGGUUGUGCCAGUGCUGAUCUGUCUUGAUGUGAAUGUGAACAAUGGGAACCUGAGCUGAGCAGUUAAUGCUAGGGUGACAGAAACUGGACCUCUCCCAAGACAUGUGACAGAGUAAUACAGCAGCCAACUUCUUCGCCAAAUUAAAGUUUUACAAGAUUUAACCUGUCAUCAAGACCUGGGAUUUUGGUGAUCUUGGACAUGAUACCUGGAUGUGCAGCAGCCAUCUGGUAAUUAUGAGGUGACAAGUCAAUAGACUGAGAUGGUGGAGCAGCAAAGAUAGAAAAGAAGGACAGAAUAACGGGCUCCCAGAUUCACAAGCCCCACCAAGAGGAUCACCCCAGGAACGCUUGGAGGCUGAGGAGUUCACUGAGGCUACUGCAUCUUGAGACUCAGGAUGAAGACCCAGCUUGGGGCUGUCAAAGAGGCCUGAAGAGGCAGAACACCCCAGAGGAGCCUGGGGCCACCACCCAGCAUCACUGUGGGAAAACGGCAGCAGGAAAUGUCCUCUCGCCUGCGUGCUCCACCUCGGUCCACGCCUUCCCUCCUUCUGGAAGCCUUGCCUGACCACUGGCCUGCCCCUUCUAUGGGAAUCACUACUGACCUUGCAGCUUAUUAUAGACUUAUAUGUUUUUUGCAUGUCUGACACCCAUGACUCCACCUGGACCUUAUGGCUCCACCCAGAAGCAAUUCAGCCCAACAGGAGGACAGCUUCAACCCAUUACGAUUUCAUCUCUGCCCCAACCACUCAGCAGCAAGCACCUGUUACCUGUCCACCCCCACCCCUUCCCCCAAACUGCCUUUGAAAAAUCCCUAACCUAUGAGCUUUGAAUAAGAUGAGUACGAACUUCAUCGCCCACGUGGCGUGGCCGGCCUCGUGUCUAUUAAAUUCUUUUUCUACUACAA